CUUCCCGCCUACCUUGCAGCUGAGACUCCGGGAUGCACCCCGAGAACGCCCCGUCACGCCCCGUCGGCGAACGGACCCCAGGCGCGCAGAGAGAGAGAGAACAAGCAGGGAGAGCAGCAGAUGGAGAGGGAGAAGCAGACUCCCCGCUGAGCUGGGAGCCGGAUACAGGGCUCCAUCCUAGCACUCUGGGAUCAGGGUCCGAGUACAAGGGAGACACAUAAUGACUGAGCCACCCAGACGCCUCAGCCACCAGGGACCCAGGGCUGGAGAAAUGGCUGAUUCUAGGGCUAGAGCCGAGAAAACACCACACCAGUCUGGAGACACUUCCAGCGGCAGAAAGUACUUAAAACAAGCUGGAAGGACUCGGAAGCCAACCUCAAAGAACUCUCGUUGGCCACAGCUGGAAUAAUUCGAGAACAAAGUGAAUAACCAUAGCAUUGGAUUAUGACCCCAACGAUGAAAUCUAGUCCACACGAGUCCGUACUGAUUAAAAAUACAAGUUCUGGCAGCACAUCUCAAUUCAGCUUUCCAAAUGACCACACCGUCCAGAGAAUGGAGAGGAAGUGUGUUCUCUUCUUCCUGGGUUUUUUCUGCUGGGCAGUUUCUCCUGCCACUGUCCCGCGGGAAUCAUCUUCAAUUCCCAUAUUGGGACACCUGUUUCCUCAAUCUUAAGUCUUCCUUUUUUCUUUUUUUCUUUCUUUCUUUCUUUCUUUCUUUCUUUCUUUCUUUUUUUAUUUGCUCCCUUGUUUUGGUUGAGUGCAUCCUGCAAUAACUUUCUAAGAACAUAAGAGCACGGGAGAUGACAUUUUUUAGUCCCUCUGCGUUUUGAAAUGUCUCUGCCUGCUCCUUGCACUUGGUCGCUAUUUUGGCUGGAAAUAGGGGUCUGGGUUUGAAAUCCUAUUCUGUCAGAAUUUUGAGGCUACAGAUCCAUUGUCUCUUUAUUUCCAGUGUCUUUGAAUUUGCUGCUUGUGCCACCAGGAAUGCACUCCUUUCCUCCUCAUCCUUUUGAUACCACAAUGGCCAUUUCAAGGGUAAACCAGUAGCUCUGGACGGAAAAACCCAGCCAAGUCCAUGACUGCCUUGACCAAUUCUGGCCAUCAAAUGCAGGUGGAAGUGGAGUCACUUCUGUACAUCAGUCACUUCUGAGCCGAGGCAUCGAAAAGCCCACACAUGCUUCUCUGGUCUUCCUGGACGUGUUUGUUCCGGCAGCAAAACUUGACUUAUGCUGGGACGCCUGAGUGGCUCAGUGGGUUAAAGCCUCUGCCUUCCGCUCAGGUCAUGAUCCCAGGGUCCUGGG